GAACAUGAUAGCUCUGUUGGUUAGAGCAUGGUGCUGAUAAUACCAAGGUUGUAGGUUGGUGUUAUCAACGCCCUGCUCUAACCA